AGAGUUUGAUCCUGGCUCAGAACGAACGCUGGCGGCGUGGAUUAGGCAUGCAAGUCGAACGAGAAUCUGGAGGUUCAAGUUUUCGGACAAGAACUUUCGGAGGAAAGUGGCGGAAGGGUGAGUACAACAUGGAUAAUCUACCUUCAAGUUGGGUAUAGCUUCCCGAAAGGGGAGAUAAUCCCGAAUGUGGUGAUCCGGCGCAUGUCGGAGAAUCUAAAGGCGGGGACCGCAAGGCCUGCCGCUUGAAGCCGAGCCCGUGCACUAUCAGCUUGUUGGCGGGGUAAUGGCCCACCAAGGCUUUGACGGUUAGCUGGUCUGAGAGGAUGGUCAGCCACACUGGGACUGAGAUACUGCCCAGACUCCUACGGGAGGCUGCAGUCGAGAAUCAUUCGCAAUGGGCGAAAGCCUGACGGUGCGACGUCGCGUGGAGGAUGAAGGUCUUCGGAUUGUAAACUCCUGUCAUGUGGGAUAAAUGGCCCGGGCCCGAAUACGGCCUGGGAAUGAUCGUACCACAGGAGGAAGAGACGGCUAACUCUGUGCCAGCAGCCGCGGUAAUACAGAGGUCUCGAGCGUUGUUCGGAUUUACUGGGCGUAAAGGGAGCGUAGGCGGUUUGGUGUGUCGAAUGUGAAAGCCCGCAACUCAACUGCGGAAUGGCAUUCGAAACUACCGGGCUAGAGUACUGGAGAGGAGAGCGGAAUUCUUGGUGUAGCGGUGAAAUGCGUAGAUAUCAAGAGGAACACCGGUGGCGAAGGCGGCUCUCUGGACAGAUACUGACGCUGAGGCUCUAAAGUUAGGGGAGCAAACAGGAUUAGAUACCCUGGUAGUCCUAACUGUAAACGGUGUACACUUGGUGUGCGAGGAAUUGUCCCUUUGCGCGCCGCAGCUAACGCGUUAAGUGUACCGCCUGGGGAGUACGGUCGCAAGAUUAAAACUCAAAGGAAUUGACGGGGACCCGCACAAGCGGUGGAGCAUGUGGCUUAAUUCGAUGCAACGCGAAGAACCUUA
rnacentral:rRNA from 1 species